rnacentral:rRNA from 1 species
AUUGAACGCUGGCGGUAUGCUUAACACAUGCAAGUCGAACGGUAGCAGGCUUUCGGGCGCUGACGAGUGGCGGACGGGUGAGUAAUGCAUAGGAAUCUGCCUAUUAGUGGGGGACAACGUGGGGAAACUCACGCUAAUACCGCAUACGCCCUACGGGGGAAAGCGGGGGAUCUUCGGACCUCGCGCUAAUAGAUGAGCCUAUGUUGGAUUAGCUAGUUGGUAGGGUAAAGGCCUACCAAGGCGACGAUCCAUAGCUGGUCUGAGAGGAUGAUCAGCCACACUGGGACUGAGACACGGCCCAGACUCCUACGGGAGGCAGCAGUGGGGAAUAUUGGACAAUGGGCGCAAGCCUGAUCCAGCAAUACCGCGUGUGUGAAGAAGGCCUGAGGGUUGUAAAGCACUUUCAAUGGGAAGGAAUACCUACCGGCCAAUACCCGGUAGACUGACAUUACCCAUACAAGAAGCACCGGCUAACUCCGUGCCAGCCGCCGCGGUAAUAC